UACGGAGGGAGCUAGCGCUGUUCGGAAUUACUGGGCGUAAAGCGCACGUAGGCGGCUUUGUAAGUUAGAGGUGAAAGCCCGGGGCUCAACCCCGGAAUUGCCUUUAAGACUGCAUCGCUUGAAUCCGGGAGAGGUGAGUGGAAUUCCGAGUGUAGAGGUGAAAUUCGUAGAUAUUCGGAAGAACACCAGUGGCGAAGGCGGCUCACUGGACCGGCAUUGACGCUGAGGUGCGAAAGCGUGGGGAGCAAACAGG
rnacentral:rRNA from 1 species